rnacentral:rRNA from 1 species
UACGGAGGUGGCAAGCGUUACUCGGAUUCAUUGGGUGUAAAGGGCAGGUAGGUGUCCUGAAAAGUGAGAGGUGAAAUCCUACGGCUUAAUCGUAGAAUUGCCUUUCAAACUUUCGGGAUUGAGUGUGAGAGAGGAAAGCGGAACUCUCGGUGUAAGAGUGAAAUCUGUAGAUAUCGAGAGGAACACCGGUAGCGAAGGCGGCUUUCUGGAGCACUACUGACACUGAGCUGCGAAAGCUAGGGGAGCAAACAGG